rnacentral:rRNA from 1 species
GGCCAGACUCCUACGGGAGGCAGCAGUGGGGAAUAUUGCACAAUGGGGGGAACCCUGAUGCAGCGACGCCGCGUGGGCGAGGAAGUCUUUCGGUAUGUAAAGCCCUGUCAGCAGGGAAGAAAAUGACGGUACCUGAAGAAGAAGCCCCGGCUAACUACGUGCCAGCAGCCGCGGUAAUACGUAGGGGGCAAGCGUUAUCCGGAUUUACUGGGUGUAAAGGGAGCGUAGACGGCGACGCAAGUCUGGAGUGAAAGCCCGGGGCCCAACCCCGGGACUGCUCUGGAAACUGCGGCGCUGGAGUACGGGAGGGGCAGGCGGAAUUCCUGGUGUAGCGGUGAAAUGCGUAGAUAUCAGGAGGAACGCCGGCGGCGAAGGCGGCCUGCUGGACCGUGACUGACGUUGAGGCUCGAGAGCGUGGGGAGCAAACAGGAUUAGAUACCCCGGUAU